rnacentral:siRNA from 1 species
UUAUUCUCAUGAUGCCCCUAA